ensembl:lncRNA LINC02532 long intergenic non-protein coding RNA 2532
GGAUGUGAGUGUGUAGACCUUGUACAAUAGAGCUUAUAGGCUAAUGAGAAGACAGGAAGAAACAACAGGAACACAUAUAGCUGGAAUGCAGAUGGGAUCUGUGCUACUUACGCUAGCCAUGGGAUGAUUAGAACAAGAUAAGAGACAUGAGGAAGACUUCUUCAAGGAGGUGCUCAAGCCAUGUUUUGGAAAAGAGAACUCAAGACUGCCUGGCAGCUCUUUAGAAAGUUGUGUGACGUAUGAACCAGUUCUUCCCUAUAUGAGAGUGUACCGUACAUCGCAGGCUGUCCAGCAUCGACCCCACUGAUGGAUGCUAGUAGUCCUCCCCGCCAGCACUCAACAUUGUGACAGUCAAAAACAUCCUCUCUACAUUUUCAAUGCCCCUGUUGGGGUAGCAGGACUCCCACUGAGAGACCCCAGUAGAGAUGGUCCCCAAGCAUGCUAACCAUGAAGCAGUGAUAUCGCACAGCACCUGCUUCCAGCAGCCCGGAGCCAAGGGGCAAAAUGGAAAGAGUCAGCAUUUCUCUUUUAGGUUCUCUGCCUCUCUAGUGUGUAAGCUUUUAACCCCCACUACGCGUCUUCGUUCCAUUCUCCUCCAGUACCCAUUUUAGUGAGCUUCUGUUGUUUCUGCCCCAGGAUAUCUCUAACAAAGAACCAAGAUAUUUAUCAGGAGAACUUCUCCCACUCUCCUCUCAGUCCUUGGGGAUCUGAUGAAAUGACACUUCUUGGACUGUGGGGUGGAGCAUGUGAGUCACACCUGGGCCAAUCAUUUUAUCCUAUUUCGUGACCACAUGACCAAUUCAGGGAUGGGAACAUGACCCAGGUGGAACCUAUGAGAGGCAGUGAGAUCUUUCCAGGUACUUCCAGGAAAGAGGGUCUCACUUUUCCCUCUAUAAUGUACACCAGAGAAGGUGUGUGGCUGAAGCUGCUACCAUCCUCUUGUGGCUACAGGAAGCUGGGAUUAAUUGUAACAACGCAAUUGGCAGAUCUGAAAGCUGAGAACAAAAAAGCAAAAAACCUGUGUUCUAAUAACACUAUAUAUGAGCCCUAAAUCCAGCUAUGCCUGGAGCCAGUCUUACUGUGGAAUUUUUAACCUAAGCUGGUUGAUAAAUUAUCUUUUCAUUUAAGACAAAGUCAUGGCAGAUUUUUUGCCACUUGUGAGAAGAAGACAGAUACACCCAAGAAGCUCCUGUUCUUUCUCAUUAACCCAUAUUAAAACCCACUUUCGGGAAAGGAUUCUCCAUUCUAAAUUAUUAAUAACUGAUAAUGCUUCAAAGUCAAAGUAUGACUCCUUCAAGAAAGUUUUCAGCUUUCAGGAUUUGUUCAGCAAAUACUGAGCCCCUUCUGAUGCAAAUAGACAUGGCAGUGUAUGCUAGGAGGAGAGUGUAGCCAAGUUUUCCCAUCAAACUCGGUAUUUCAGUGCCUAAUUUUGGCCAUUCAGAUAAGUUUCAACUUCUAGUAAUGGCCAAGUAAAUUAUAUCUAACUAAACCUUCUGCCAAAGACAGUGGUAAAUUCUGGACCCAAAACACAAUGAUAACAACAAAACCUGUUUGAAGGUUCUUGAAACUGGCCAACAUGGUUUGGUUCUGCAGACAAAAACUGAAGACAUGACCCUUGAAAAAAGGAAAUCACAUAUGGUGAGAUACACAUUUAUCAGGUUUUCCUUCAGCAGCGCUAUCCAUUUCCUGCAGUGGACGGAGGUAGAGCUCAGCAGAAAGUGGCUGUUCUACUGAGUUAAAAAGUUAGAGGUUAGAAUUUGGGGCUUCCACAGUAGCAGGAGAUUGGGAAGGAGGGAAUCUCGCAAAGGAGGGAGUCUCAGAUGGGGAGCUCCCAAAUCUGUGUACAAACUUCUCUGAUUCCUAAACUGUGCAUCUGGGUGAGGUUCAAGGAGCUGAGGGAAAAAUAACAGCUGGAAGGCUAAAAAGGUGUUGUCUUGUGUUGAGCAGAUGGUGCUUAGGGUUUAGUUCUCACCAAGUUAGAGGACUCUGGAGAACACCUAAAGCUUUCUACUGAGACUACAGAAGGAGUAAUGACUACUCCCCAGGACUAAAGCCUAUGUCCUAGGAAUAAAGGCAAAACCAAGAUAGGCCCACCCUGACAAAGCCUAAAACCAACUCUUCAUAGCCGCAUUAUGCAAUAUAGUAACUUCUAGGCACACAUGGCAUUUCAAAUUUAAUUAAAACUAAGUAAAA